rnacentral:rRNA from 1 species
CCUACGGGCGGCUGCAGUGGGGAAUUUUGGACAAUGGGCGCAAGCCUGAUCCAGCCAUUCCGCGUGAGUGAAGAAGGCCUUCGGGUUGUAAAGCUCUUUCGCAAGGGAAGAAAACUUACAUUCUAAUAAAGUGUGAGGCUGACGGUACCUUGAUAAGAAGCACCGGCUAACUACGUGCCAGCAGCCGCGGUAAUACGUAGGGUGCGUGCGUUAAUCGGAGUGACUGGGGGUAAAUUUGGAACUGAGAUUUGAAAUCCCCGAGCUCAACUUGGGAACUGCGUUUGAAACUACAAGACUAGAAUAUGUCAGAGGGGGGUAGAAUUCCACGUGUAGCAGUGAAAUGCGUAGAGAUGUGGAGGAAUACCAAUGGCGAAGGCAGCCCCCUGGGAUAAUAUUGACGCUCAUGCACGAAAGCGUGGGGAGCAAACAGGAUUAGAUACCCCUGUAGUC